rnacentral:rRNA from 1 species
UACGUAGGGCGCAAGCGUUGUCCGGAAUUAUUGGGCGGAAAGAGCUCGUAGGCGGCUUGUCACGUCGGGGGUGAAAGCCCGGGGCUUAACCCCGGGUCUGCAUUCGAUACGGGCUGGCUAGAGUGUGGUAGGGGAGAUCGGAAUUCCUGGUGUAGCGGUGAAAUGCGCAGAUAUCAGGAGGAACACCGGUGGCGAAGGCGGAUCUCUGGGCCAUUACUGACGCUGAGGAGCGAAAGCGUGGGGAGCGAACAGG